UACGAAGGGGGCUAGCGUUGCUCGGAAUCACUGGGCGUAAAGCGCACGUAGGCGGAUUGCUAAGUCAGGGGUGAAAUCCUGGAGCUCAACUCCAGAACUGCCUUUGAUACUGAGAGCUUGAGUCCGGGAGAGGUGAGUGGAACUGCGAGUGUAGAGGUGAAAUUCGUAGAUAUUCGCAAGAACACCAGUGGCGAAGGCGGCUCACUGGCCCGAUACUGACGCUGAGGCACGAAAGCGUGGGGAGCAAACAGGG
rnacentral:rRNA from 1 species